UACGUAGGGUGCAAGCGUUGUCCGGAUUUAUUGGGCGUAAAGAGCUCGUAGGCGGUCUGUCGCGUCUGCUGUGAAAACUAGGGGCUUAACCCCGGGCCUGCAGUGGGUACGGGCAGACUAGAGUGCGGUAGGGGAGACUGGAAUUCCUGGUGUAGCGGUGAAAUGCGCAGAUAUCAGGAGGAACACCGGUGGCGAAGGCGGGUCUCUGGGCCGUAACUGACGCUGAGGAGCGAAAGCGUGGGGAGCAAACAGG
rnacentral:misc_RNA from 1 species